rnacentral:misc_RNA from 1 species
GAUGAAGAACGCAGCGAAAUGCGAUAAGUAAUGUGAAUUGCAGAAUUCGGUGAAUCAUCGAGUCUUUGAACGCACAUUGCGCCCCCUGGUAUUCCGGGGGGCAUGCCUGUCCGAGCGUCAUUGCUGCCCUCAAGCACGGCUUGUGUGUUGGGCCGUCGUCCCCCUCCUAGGGGACGGGCCCGAAAGGCAGCGGCGGCACCGCGUCCGGUCCUCGAGCGUAUGGGGCUUCGUCACCCGCUCCGUAGGCCCGGCCGGCGCUUGCCGACGACCAUCAAUCUCUUUCUCCAGGUUGACCUCGGAUCAGGUAGGGAUACCCGCUGAACUUAAGCAUAUCAAUAAGCGGAUGA